rnacentral:rRNA from 1 species
AGAGUUUGAUCAUGGCUCAGGAUGAACGCUAGCGGCAGGCCUAAUACAUGCAAGUCGAACGAUACCAGAGAGCUUGCUUUCUGGGAAAGUGGCGCACGGGUGCGUAACGCGUAUGCAACCUACCUUAAUCAGGGGGAUAGCCUCUCGAAAGAGAGAUUAACACCGCAUAACAUCAUUUUACGGCAUCGUAGGAUGAUCAAAUAUUUAUAGGAUUAAGAUGGGCAUGCGUGACAUUAGUUUGUUGGUGAGGUAAUGGCUCACCAAGACUACGAUGUCUAGGGGAUCUGAGAGGAUGACCCCCCACACUGGUACUGAGACACGGACCAGACUCCUACGGGAGGCAGCAGUAAGGAAUAUUGGUCAAUGGGGGCAACCCUGAACCAGCCAUGCCGCGUGCAGGAAGACGGCCCUACGGGUUGUAAACUGCUUUUAUACGGGAAUAAACCUCGCUACGUGUAGUGAGCUGAAUGUACUGUAAGAAUAAGGAUCGGCUAACUCCGUGCCAGCAGCCGCGGUAAUACGGAGGAUCCAAGCGUUAUCCGGAUUUAUUGGGUUUAAAGGGUGCGUAGGCGGCCUAUUAAGUCAGGGGUGAAAGACGGUGGCUCAACCAUCGCAGUGCCCUUGAUACUGAUGGGCUUGAUUACACUUGAGGUAGGCGGAAUGUGACAAGUAGCGGUGAAAUGCAUAGAUAUGUCACAGAACACCAAUUGCGAAGGCAGCUUACUAAGGUGUUAAUGACGCUGAGGCACGAAAGCGUGGGGAUCAAACAGGAUUAGAUACCCUGGUAGUCCACGCCCUAAACGAUGAAUACUCGAUGUUAGCGAUAUACAGUUAGCGUCAAAGCGAAAGCGUUAAGUAUUCCACCUGGGGAGUACGCCCGCAAGGGUGAAACUCAAAGGAAUUGACGGGGGCCCGCACAAGCGGUGGAGCAUGUGGUUUAAUUCGAUGAUACGCGAGAAACCUUACCUGGGCUUAAAUGUCAGGUGACCGCUGCCGAAAGGUGGCUUCCCUUCGGGGCAACUGGCAAGGUGCUGCAUGGCUGUCGUCAGCUCGUGCCGUGAGGUGUUGGGUUAAGUCCCGCAACGAGCGCAACCCCUAUCUUUAGUUGCCAUCAGGUCAAGCUGGGGACUCUAGAGAAACUGCCUACGCAAGUAGUGAGGAAGGCGGGGACGACGUCAAGUCAUCAUGGCCCUUACGCCCAGGGCUACACACGUGCUACAAUGGAUGGUACAAUGAGACGCCACUUGGUAACAAGGCGCAAACCUCAAAAAGCCAUUCUCAGUUCGGAUUGAGGUCUGCAACUCGACCUCAUGAAGCUGGAUUCGCUAGUAAUCGAAUAUCAGCAUUGAUUCGGUGAAUACGUUCCCGGGCCUUGUACACACCGCCCGUCAAGCCAUGGAAGCUGGGAGAACCUGAAGUCGAUAACCGCAAGGAGUCGCCUAGGGUUAUACUAGUAACUGGGGCUAAGUCGUAACAAGGUAGCCGUA